rnacentral:rRNA from 1 species
CCAUUCCGAACACGGAAGUGAAGUCCUCCAGCGCCGAUGGUACUGCGUGGGCAACUGCGCGGGAGAGUAGGUCGCCGCCAGGA